UGUGUGCUGGAGGAUGAAAAUGCGGAGUGAUCCAUCGGCUAAGUGCUUUAUCACAAUGCUGAAACUCAGUUGCUGACAGCACACA
ensembl:snoRNA SNORD71 small nucleolar RNA, C/D box 71